ensembl:lncRNA
CAUUAGUUCCUGCAGCAGCUACUCUUCCUGGGGUUUAUUAUGGAUCCCCAUUAGUUCCUGCAGCAGCUACUCUUCCUGGGGUUUGUUAUGGAUCCCCAUUAGUUUCUGCAGCAGCUACUCUUCCUGGGGUUUAUUAUGGAUCCCCAUUAGUUCCUGCAGCAGCUACUCUUCCUGGGAUUUAUUAUGGAUCCCCAUUAGUUCCUGCAGUAGAUACUCUUCCUGGGGUUUGUUAUGGAUCCCCAUUAGUUCCUGCAGCAGCUACUCUUCCUGGGGUUUGUUAUGGAUCCCCAUUAGUUCCUGCCAAGGCAGCAGCUACUCUUCCUGGGGUUUAUUAUGGAUCCCCAUUAGUUCCUGCAGCAGCUACUCUUCCUGGGGUUUAUUAUGGAUCCCCAUUAGUUCCUGCAGCAGCUACUCUUCCUGGGUUUGUUAUGGAUCCCCAUUAGUUCCUGCAGCAGCUACUCUUCCUGGGUUUGUUAUGGAUCCCCAUUAGUUCCUGCAGCAGCUACUCUUCCUGGGGUUUAUUAUGGAUCCCCAUUAGUUCCUGCAGCAUCUACUCUUCCUGGGUUUGUUAUGGAUCCCCAUUAGUUCCUGCAGCAGCUACUCUUCCUGGGUUUGUUAUGGAUCCCCAUUAGUUCCUGCAGCAGCUACUCUUCCUGGGGUUUAUUAUGGAUCCCCAUUAGUUCCUGCAGCAGCUACUCUUCCUGGGUUUGUUAUGGAUCCCCAUUAGUUCCUGCAGCAGCUACUCAUCCUGGGGUUUAUUAUGGAUCCCCAUUAGUUCCUGCAGCAGCUACUCUUCCUGGGGUUUAUUAUGGAUCCCCAUUAUUUCCUGCAGCAGCUACUCUUCCUGGGGUUUAUUAUGGAUCCCCAUUAGUUCCUGCAGCAGCUACUCUUCCUGGGGUUUGUUAUGGAUCCCCAUUAGUUCCUGCAGCACCUACUCUUCCUGGGGUUUGUUAUGGAUCCCCAUUAGUUCCUGCAGCAGCUACUCUUCCUGGGGUUUGUUAUGGAUCCCCAUUAGUUCCUGCAGCAGCUACUCUUCCUGGGUUUGUUAUGGAUCCAUUAAAGAUAAAACAAUACGUUAUAUAACAGUAUGGGGAUGAGGUAGUUGGAUGGGCUAUUUACAGAUGGGCUAUGUACAGGUGCAAUGAUCGGUAAGCUGCUCUGGCAGCUGAUGCUUAAAGUUAGAGGGAGAUAUGAGACUUUGCUUUAUCUUGGCCAGGUUGCAGUUGUAAAUGAGAACUUGUUCUCAACUGGCCUACCUGGUUAAAUAAAGGUGAAAUAAAUAACUCCAGCUCCAGUCAUUUUCGAUAAACACUAAUCUGCCUUCCCAAUGAAAAAUAAAAGAUUCUAACAUGAAUUUAAUGGAAAAGAGAUGUUUCUGGACAAUGCACCAUGCUGCCUCGUUGACAAAAUGACAGAGCAGCACAGAUGACUGUUUGAUUUGAGAAGGGUGCUUCUCCCUGCCUGCUUUCACCUGAUGGGUCUUUACCUCAGGCUCAUCGAAUCUGCCCCUUAUAAACCGGGUAGUUUGGCUCCUGGAUGCUGAUUGGCUGAAAGCCGUGGUAUACCACAGUCUGGCCCAGGCGUGUGAAGGUGAACGGAAAGGCUCUGGAGCAACGAACCGCCCUUGCUGUCUCUGCCUGGCCGGUUCCCCUCUCUCCACUGGGAUUCUCUGCCUCUAACCCUAUUACAGGGGCUGAGUCACUGGCUCACUGGAGCUUUUCCAUGCCGUCCCUGGGAGGGGUGCGUCACUUGAGUGGGUUGAGUCACUGAUGUUAUCUUCCUGUCUGGGUUGGCGCCCCCCCCCUUGGGUUGUGCCGUGGCAGAGAUCUUUCUGGGCUAUAAUCGGCCUUGUCUCAGGAUGAUAAGUUGGUGGUUGAAGAUAUCCCUCUAGUGCUGUGGGGACCACACAUGCAGAGAUCAUCCGUUCACCUACUCUACAUCUCACGAAGACAAAGCGGUUGGAACCAAAAAUCUCCAACUAGCCUACCUGGUAAAAUAAAGGUAAAGUGGGUGGGGUUAUAUCCUUCCUGUUUGGCCCUGUCCGGGGGUGUCAUCGGAUGGGACCACAGUGUCUCCUGACCCCUCCUGUCUCAGCCUCCAGUAUUUAUGCUGCAGUAGCUUGUGUCGGGGGCUAGGGUCAGUUUGUUAUAUCUGGAGUACUUCUCCUGUCUUAUCCGGUGUCCUGUGUGAAUUGAAGUAUGUUCUCUCUUUCUUUCUCUCUCUCGGAGGACCUGAGCCCUAGGACCAUGCCUCAGGACUACCUGGCAUGAUGACUCCUUGCUGUCCCCAGUCCACCUGGCCAUGCUGCUGUUCCAGUUUCAACUGACCUGAGCCCUAGGACCAUGCCCCAGGACUACCUGACAUGAUGACUCCUUGCUGUCCCCAGUCCACCUGGCCGUGCUGCUGCUCCAGUUUCAACUGUUCUGCCUGUGAUUAUUAUUAUUUGACCAUGCUGGUCAUUUAUGAACAUUUGAACAUCUUGGCCAUGUUCUGUUAUAAUCUCCACCCCACAUAGCCUGGUUCCUCUCUAGGUUUCUUCCUAGGUUUUGGGCUUUCUAGGGAGUUUUUCCUAGCCACCGUGCUUCUACACCUGCAUUGCUUGCUGUUUGGGGUUUUAGGCUGGGGUCUGUACAGCACUUUUGAUUUGAUAACCAGUUUAUAAAAGCAAUAAGGCACGAGGUGGUGUGAUAUAUGGCCAAUAUACCACGGCUAAGGCUCUGUGUCCAGGCACUCUGCGAUGCGUCGUGCCUAAGGACAACCCUUAGUCGUGGUAUAUUGGCCAUAUAUCACACCACCUCGUGCCUUAUUGCUUAAAUAUAAGACUGGUCUAGUGAACCAUAAGAGCGGUAUUACAUGGUUGGGACAAUCAUGAGCACUUUUAAUUUACAGGAUUCAUUAGCUAGUUGAAAUUCAAUCCCUGACUGUGUUCUCCCCCAUUCAUGGAAAUGGACCGGGAAAAAUCCCUCUGAAAUAAAAAUACCCGAUUUCACUCCUGGUACCCAAAAUCCACCUGUUUUCAGCCCUUUGAAAAACUACAAUCAGCUCGCUGACUCAUUCAGAAAAACUAACUCAGUUACAUUCAGCUCUCUGCCUCAUUCAGAUAUAC